rnacentral:rRNA from 1 species
AGGGCUGCGAUACCGUGAGGUGGAGCGAAUCCCUUAAAGCCAGUCUCAGUUCGGAUUGGGGUCUGCAACUCGACCCCAUGAAGUCGGAGUCGCUAGUAAUCGCAGAUCAGCAACGCUGCGGUGAAUACGUUCCCGGGCCUUGUACACACCGCCCGUCACGUCAUGAAAGUCGGUAACACCCGAAGCCGGUGGCCUAACCCCUUGUGGGAGGGAGCUGUCGAAGGUGGGAUCGGCGAUUGGGACGAAGUCGUAACAAGGUAGCCGUACCGGAAGGUGCGGCUGGAUCACCUCCUUUCU